CACGUAGGGUGCGAGCGUUGUCCGGAAUUAUUGGGCGUAAAGAGCUCGUAGGCGGUGUGUCGCGUCGGCCGUGAAAACCUGCAGCUUAACUGUGGGCUUGCGGUCGAUACGGGCAUCACUGGAGUUCGGCAGGGGAGACUGGAAUUCCUGGUGUAGCGGUGAAAUGCGCAGAUAUCAGGAGGAACACCGAUGGCGAAGGCAGGUCUCUGGGCCGCAAACUGACGCUGAG
rnacentral:rRNA from 1 species